AUAAACAGUGCAGAUACGCUUGAUGAUGCCAGGGAGGCUGUUAGUGAAACUGCUGAAGAGUUGGCGCUGAUGGGAGCUCUACGGCACCUCAGAUCCUUGGAGCACAGGAAGGAGUUGAUGGAAGCUGUUCUUCAGUUUUACUGUGAAGGCCGAAUCAAUGCAGCCCUCACACAAUUUAAAGAUGGACUGACUACACUUGGGGUCCUUUAGAUGGUAACCUCACACCCUCAAGCUUUUGAAAAAGUCUUUCUUUACGACCCAACGCCACUGAAGGCCAGCGAUAUUGUGGAACUUUUCCAUGCCAGGUGUCGAUCUUUGCCAGCAUCAAACCGAAGGCGGUUGGAAGCCAGGACCAUUGCCUUCUGGAAAGAUUGGCUCCUAGAGGUUGAAGGUGGACUUGCCCAUCCAAUAACUCUUGAGCAUGUGCUCAUUUUUGCCACUGGCCUUCAACGAAUCCCAGCAGUGGGUUUUCCAAUGCAGCCAGAGCUGGCAUUUUUGCACCCAGAUGAUGGACUAGCGAGGUUUCCAAAGGCCAACACAUGUUCACUGGUUCUUCACUUACCUGUAGGCCAGACUUACACUGAAUUCAAAAAUAACAUGGAGCUUGGACUAGGCUGUGCUUCCCAGUUUGGGGAGGCCUGAAGUUUUAAAAUAAUUUUUUUGAUAAUUCCAAGUGAUUCUAAAACUUGUUUUUGUUUACAGAAUGCUUUUGAAGUAUUUUAUAUAUUAAAUUGUAUUUGGUUUGUUUGUCAGUAAUAAACCUUACGAGUGCUUGCUUAUUCUAAAA